rnacentral:lncRNA from 1 species
CCCACCCCUGGUUUAAUUUUACAGCUUUCUGAUAACCACUCUCUUUCCAGGCAAGACUUGUGACUAAUCUUUCUCACAGUCUGUCUUUUUUCGUUUGUUUGUUUCAUAGGGCUGUUCAGUUCUUUCCCCUCCUCUCCCCUUCCAUAUGGGGAAGAAUAAAAUGAAGAAACAACAUUUUCAGAGAAGAAAGACUUGGAAAGAGUUGCUGUUUUCUGGGAGUCUGCUACAGCUGUUAAUUUGUGGAAAACCUCAGUGGAAAUGGCAGUAUUUCUUAACUAUGAGAAUUGUAACAACUGUGGGGCCUCUGACUCCAACAGAAAUGCUCUCCUCAGUGGGGAAAUGCCCUCCAGUUCCAUGAAGAGCAUGUACACUAAACUGAAAAGCAAAACAAAUACUCAUCAAAGCUUCCUGCAAAAAAUUGGGAACUUGGGUUCUUUUUUUUCCUGUUGUUUGUUUCUUUUUAAAGACUGAGGAGGGUUAGGAUGGAGAAAAUAGCCAGAGCAAGGGUUUUUUGCCAUUUGCUCAAUGUGCAUGUGGGAGUGUGUGAGAAGAGGAAGGAACAGCCGGCCUGGCAUUAGCGCAGAGCAUGAACUUGACUUGAUCCAUUGGAGGUGGAUCUUGUGCUUGUGAUCAGACGAAAACAGGAUGGCAGUUUCGCAUCUCCAGUGACAACAAGACUUCUGCUGAUGGUAGUAGCAAUCAGCCAUUUUUAAACAACCUUAGCAAAUCCACUUGUCGGAGGAGAAGCAUCUCUUUUGCUAUGUUAGGGGCUGUGGUCCACUCUUGUGUCUCUUCGCUAUUCUCAUGAAUGCUUAUUAAGUGUAUUUGCACUGGUGUUGCCUAAAACCCUGCCAGCCUUGCUGAGAGCUGAGAGGCUGCACUGCCAAGAGAGCAUCAGGCCAGAAAAAUCACUUUUUGUGAGGCUCUGCCAGGUGUGUCAGAGGCAUGGUGCUACCCUGGGGAGGUCAUACAUUCGUCCUUGGGGCUGUGUGCUUUCCCCCAGCCUUCCCUGCCAC